rnacentral:rRNA from 1 species
UACAGAGGGUGCGAGCGUUAAUCGGAAUUACUGGGCGUAAAGCGUGCGUAGGCGGCGGUCCAUGUCUGGUGUGAAAUCUCCCGGCUUAACUGGGAGGGUGCGCCGGAAACGGGGCUGCUGGAGUGCGGGAGAGGUAAGCGGAAUUCCCGGUGUAGCGGUGAAAUGCGUAGAUAUUGGGAAGAACACCAGUGGCGAAGGCGGCUAACUGGUCCAGAUCUGACGCUGAGGUGCGAAAGCGUGGGGAGCAAACAGG